rnacentral:rRNA from 1 species
ACAUGCCUACAACAUAGAAUAAAUGCAUUGGAUCCCAUUAGAACUCCAUAGUUAAGUGCGCUUAGGCUAGAGUAGUACUAGGAUGGGUGAUCGCCUGGGAAUUCCUAGUGUUUUACAUGCC